rnacentral:rRNA from 1 species
GAUGAACGCUGGCGGCGUGCCUAAUACAUGCAAGUCGAGCGAACAGACGAGGAGCUUGCUCCUCUGACGUUAGCGGCGGACGGGUGAGUAACACGUGGAUAACCUACCUAUAAGACUGGGAUAACUUCGGGAAACCGGAGCUAAUACCGGAUAAUAUAUUGAACCGCAUGGUUCAAUAGUGAAAGACGGUUUUGCUGUCACUUAUAGAUGGAUCCGCGCCGCAUUAGCUAGUUGGUAAGGUAACGGCUUACCAAGGCAACGAUGCGUAGCCGACCUGAGAGGGUGAUCGGCCACACUGGAACUGAGACACGGUCCAGACUCCUACGGGAGGCAGCAGUAGGGAAUCUUCCGCAAUGGGCGAAAGCCUGACGGAGCAACGCCGCGUGAGUGAUGAAGGUCUUCGGAUCGUAAAACUCUGUUAUUAGGGAAGAACAAAUGUGUGAGUAACUAUGCACAUCUUGACGGUACCUAAUCAGAAAGCCACGGCUAACUACGUG